UUUCCCAAGUUUUUUUACGAUUUCGAGAAAUAAUCUAACGAACAAAUAAUUGGAUUAAUGAUGACGGAAGUGUAUACUUUUGAGUGCCCAAGUUGCAGACAAAUGUAUUCUUCAAUCUACAGAAGAUGUCCUGAUUGCCCCGAAGAGGAUCAAGAUGAUGAAGAUGCUUUAUCAGAGAGCUUUGAUACAGAAGGUUUUUACUCCUCUGACGAUAAUGAAAGUGUAAACUUGGAU